rnacentral:rRNA from 1 species
UUAAACUGCUGCGGCCUACACAUGCAAGUCGAGCGGUAGCACAAAGAGCUUGCUCUCGGGUGACGAGCGGCGGACGGGUGAGUCACAUCUGGGAAACUGCCUGCUGAAGGGGGAUCACUACUGGAAACGGACGUUAAUACCGCAUAACGUCCGAUGACCAUAGUGGGGGACCUUCGGGCCUCAUGCCAUCAGAUGUGCCCAGAUGGGAUUACCUUCUACGUGGGGUAACGGCUCACCUAGGCGACGAUCCCUAGCUGGUCUGAAAGGAUGACCAGCCACACUGGAACUGAGCCACGAUAAACACUCCUACGGGAGGCAGCAGUGGGGAAUAUUGCACAAUGGGCGCAAGCCUGAUGCAGCCAUGCCGCGUGUGUGAAGAAGGCCUUCGGGUUGUAAAGCACUUUCAGCGGGGAGGAAGGCGAUAAGGUUAAUAACCUUGUCGAUUGACGUUACCCGCAGAAGAAGCACCGGCUAACUCCGUGCCAGCAGCCGCGGUAAUACGGAGGGUGCAAGCGUUAAUCGGAAUUACUGGGCGUAAAGCGCACGCAGGCGGUCUGUCAAGUCGGAUGUGAAAUCCCCGGGCUCAACCUGGGAACUGCAUUCGAAACUGGCAGGCUAGAGUCUUGUAGAGGGGGGUAGAAUUCCAGGUGUAGCGGUGAAAUGCGUAGAGAUCUGGAGGAAUACCGGUGGCGAAGGCGGCCCCCUGGACAAAGACUGACGCUCAGGUGCGAAAGCGUGGGAGCAAACAUGAUUACAUACCCUGGUAGUCCACGCCGUAAACUAUGUCCAUUUGGACGUUGUGCCCUUGAGGCGAGGCUGCCGUGAGCUAACGCUUGAAUCGACCGCCUGGGGAGUGCCGCCGCAGGGUAAAUCUCAAAUGAGUAAGCUUUUUUCUUAACCCAGGAUCAAAACCUUUUUA